CGGUGAAUACGUUCCCGGGCCUUGUACACACCGCCCGUCAAGCCAUGGAAGCUGGGGGUACCUGAAGUACGUAACCGCAAGGAGCGUGUUAGGGUAAAACCGGUAACUGGGGCU
rnacentral:rRNA from 1 species